CCCUUAGAUGUUCUGGGCCGCACGCGUGCUACACUGAUGCAUUCAACGAGUCUAAAACCUGGUCUGAUAGGGCUGGGUAAUCUUUUGAAAGUGCAUCGUGAUUGGGAUAGAUGAUUGCAAUUCUUCAUCUUCAACGAGGAAUGCCUAGUAAACGCAAGUCAUCAGCUUGCAUUGAUUACGUCCCUGCCCUUUGUACACACCGCCCGUCGCUCCUACCGAUUGAAUGAUCCGAUGAAUAUCAUGGAUUGAGGAUUAUAGCAGGUUCGCCUGUCUUGAUCUUCGAGAAGUGAAGUAAAUCUUAUCAUUUAGAGGAAGGAGAAGUCGUAACA
rnacentral:rRNA from 1 species